rnacentral:rRNA from 1 species
UACGUAGGUGGCAAGCGUUGUCCGGAUUUACUGGGCGUAAAGAGCGCGCAGGCGGUUGGAUAAGUCGAAUGUGAAAGCCCCCCGGCUCAACUGGGGAGGGUCAUUCGAUACUGUCCGACUCGAAGGCAGGAGAGGGAAGCGGAAUUCCCGGUGUAGUGGUGAAAUGCGUAGAUAUCGGGAGGAACACCAGUGGCGAAGGCGGCUUUCUGGCCUGUUCUUGACGCUGAGGCGCGAAAGCCAGGGGGAGCAAACGGG